rnacentral:misc_RNA from 1 species
GCACAUCUAUCUGCAAAAUAUCCAAAAAGGUCCAAAAAAAACCAUAUUAAUAGGUAUUUAUAACUGAACUUGAACUUCAGCCAAGAACUAAGUCCAGAUUCCACUUGUUAUAUUUCAGGUUAAAUGAGACAGACAACAGACAUACAAAGUAUCAAAUGAAAAGUGCCAGAAGCAACUGAAAUCUUGAACAUACACCUUUUUUAUCUGGAAUUCCACCAAAAUAUACUCAAAAGUAACAGAAGUCACUGGUCAGGAAACUCAGGACCUACAAAGUUUGUAGCUAACUAAGAACAAAGCCAAAACAGCAAUUCACAACGAAGGCAAGCACCACAUCCACUAAUUGGUGUGAACGAUUUUAAGUGCAAUAGGUAAUAUUUCAUCAAGCCACAGGCCACAUGCAUGUUAGGGAGAAACAAAAUUCAACAGCAGGAACAUUCACAAAGGAAAGGAUCCCAAAAAUAGGUGUCCAAAUAAAAAAGACACCCAAACAGAUCACCUUCAGACAACACAUGAAACACAAAAAAUGGCGCCGCUAGUCCUUUAAUUUCUCAUUGAGAAGGGUAUCUUUUUCCUUUAUAGACGCAUAAGAAGAGUUGAUGGAAACCACAUACAGGCAAAUUACCCACAUUUCUUCUAUCGCUCAACUUCACAACAUGUCAACCUCCUAAAUUGCCAUCUUUCUACACUUUAUCAAUAAAGAAAGCGAAAGACAGGAAAUUGUUAAAUCAGUAAAUGUCAUCAUUUGAAAUCAGAAAACGAAAACAGAAACAGGUACACUAUAUGACCACUAAGAUGCACGCGAAAAGAAGACAGUAAUUUUAAUUAUGGGUUAUAAGCUGUUUAGAACAAAGCAGAGCAAACAUAAAAACAAUAGCACUCCACAAACACUACAGCCAGUUCAAGGAUCAUCACUUCUCCAUAAAAGGAAAAGAACUUCAAAAUUCAAGAACAAAUACAAGAAUUAGAUGAGAGAUAG